rnacentral:lncRNA from 10 species
UGCAGACCACAAUGCACCGCUCACGGCGUCGGUUGCCCGGGCAAUGGGCCGCACGCUACGAGGCCCACACACCCAGAAGGUGGAGCCCCGGCCGGGUUACGAGGACCACCCAGCUGUCUGGAGAGAUGAAGAAAAUGAGGUUCAAAGAGAUGAAGUCUCUUGCCUAAAGUCAGUGACAGAAAGUGACAGAGCUGGGAUGUGAAUCCUGGUCUGACUCUACAGUCCCACAUGGUAGAUGGAACCUCCGAGCAACACCUAAACAAAAGGAGUUGAUGCCUCCGAACAGAGUAAUGUCGCUGGAGACACUAAGCAUCGUCGGCCCCUGGCAGGAGCUCCCUAAAUAUGUGUUGGAUGGAUGGAAGAAAGGAUGGAUAGUUCAGAGUACUUCAGCCUUGAUUCCUCCGCAACAGACACCUGAAACUUGACCCUACAUUGGUUCUUGGCCAUCGUGAUCUUCCUUGGACAGAAUCACCUUUCAGCUCCGGUCAUCAGACUUUCCCAGGGCCCUCAGAAAGCCCUUCAGAGUUGUUACUCACAGGCAGGCUGAGGGAUUCCUUACGGGGUCUGCAGCUCUCCUCACCUCAUCCACAAGUAGGACCGUGGCCUGUUCCUCACUACUGCCCCAGGAUCACUCUGUUCCCAGCCCAGUCCAGCAAUCACUUGUCUAGCUUUCUGGAACCUUGAGUACUUUCUUGAACCAUGAGUCCUGUGACCACCCUAGCAGCUCUAACCCUCCCUUAUCUGAAAGGAAGUGUGAGGUGACCUUGCAGGUCCCAGAGUUGAUUGAAGACCCCAUCCAGAAAGAAGGCACCCUGUGGGAGAGAUUGCAAGGCCUAGGUCUGAAUCCGGAAGCUUCCACCCCAUGGAGAAGGGCUGGCACCAGCCUGGGGCUGGCAGUGGAGCUGAGCUUUGGAGCCAAGGACUGUACUGCAGUGCAGGGAGAGUGAGGCCAGAAAGGCUGAGACAACUCAGGGAAAGAAAACCUCCCUUCUGGCUAAUAGUCAAGCACCGCCUGAGUAGACCAACACUCUCCUGUCCACAGGGGCAGCAGAUGAAGACACAACCAGAGAGGACUAACAGGCCCCCUCAGCUCUCAGUCAGAGGGCAGAGCAACACAGAAUAGACAUUAAAGGAACAGACUUUGAGGCCAGGCAGCCUUGGGUGUGCAUCUGUCCCUACUAAGCCAUGUGACAUUAAACAAGUGAGUCCACCUCUCUGAGCCUCAGGUUCCUCAUCUGUAAAAUGGGGAUUAUAAGAGUUCUUGUUUCUCAGGGACAAUGUGAGGAUUAAGUGAGAUGAUACACAUAGAGAAUGUGGUGCAGUACUGGGCACAUGGCAAAGAUCAGUGAUGCUAGCUACCACUUAUCAUUAGUGUUCCUGUAGACCAGGACUUCUCAACCUUGGCACUAUUCACCUUUUGGGCCAGAAAGUUUUUUUUGUUGUUGUUGUGGGGAGCUGUCCUAUGCAUUUGAGGAUGUUUAACAGCACCCCUGGCCUCUACCCACUAGAUGCCAAUCACACCACACCCCCAGUUUCAACAACCAAAAAUGUCUGCAGAUGGUGCCGAAUGUCUUCUGGAGGGUGAAAUCACUCCCCAGCAGUUGAAAAGCACCACCCUAAACAAUCUGGACUGAAUUUGAAUGUCACAGAUCCCAAGCUCACAGCUCCAUGUAAAGGCCACAAGGCAGGCAGGCCUACUUGCAGAUGAAGGAACGGAAAGAGCAACAAUUACAGAUCAAGCGGCUAGCUCCGGUGUAGACUAAGAGGCGGGAUCUGUAGUCUGCUCUAGGAGCUAACAAGGCCUCUGUGACUCAGUAGGUGACCUCAGUGUCACUCUUUAAUUAUAUGCAAAGUGGUCUUGUGUUAACUCUUAAUUAUUCUAGGGCUCCAAACAAGAAAAUAGGUAGUUGGUAUCUGAUUUCUGGCAUCAAGAUCCUGAUUCAUUGACUGGGAGAAAAUCUGACUCUCCAAAACUCUUUCAGAGUUCAUUUAGCCCUUCAUUUAUGACUCUGGGGAGAUUUCUGAGCGAGAGCUAGGUGUCAGGCCCUGUUCCAGGUGCUGGAGAUGCACAAGAGAACAAAAUAGGCAAAGUUUCCUUUUUAUGGAACUUAUAGCAGGAGAAUAAAGAUAAAAACAAGCAAAAAUAUUUAUCUCUGAUAAGGGCAAUGGAUAAAAAUAAAGUAGAAUAGGCCAGGCACGGUGGCUUACGCCUGUAAUCCCAAAGUGCUGGGAUUACCUGCGUGAACCACCGCACCCUGCAUCAUUUUUUCAGCAGACAUUUGUUGAGCACCUGCUUGAUACAAGGCACCCAUCUAGGCACAAGGGACAUGAAAGGAAGCGAGUCAGACACAGUUCCUAUCCUUUUGGAGUUUAGAUUUUAUGUGUGGAGACAGACAUUGAACAGGAUGCACACAGGAUCACAGGAUGUGACAAAUGCAGUGGAGGAGAAAGAUAGGCUGGUGUGAGAGCUGUUAAUGGGGGCUCUGCUCUAGCCGGAGAGGCAAGGAAGGCUUUUCCAGGAGUCACAUUAGAGGAACAAUCUAUACAAGCAGGGAACUAGGCUGGGGGAAGUGCAGGGAGCUUUUUAGGUGGAAAGAACAGCAUGUUCAAAGGCCUGAAGCUGGAAGGAGGCUGGCUGACUUGGCUCCAGAGAAGCUGUUGGGGGAGUGUGGGAGAGACAAGACAGGGAGUAGGGGUGGGGAGAAGCCAGACCUUUGGAGUCUUGUAAGUCUGGUUAAGACACGUGGACUGUCUUCUGCGGCCACCAGUGGCUCUGUUGAGGUGGGAAAUUAAAGAAAAGCAAAAUUAAAAAGAAAGAGAAAUAAGUUUUUCUGUAUGAGGGUGACUUGUCCCAGAGGCAGCAAUAGGCACAGGCCAGACCCAGGAAAAUUCUUCAUAAUAUUAUCUAAUGUGCUCUGGAGAUUCUCCCAGUACUCCCUCAACAUAGGGAGAAGAAAAACAAAUUUUCCUUUGUUUUAUGGAAUGAGUUUAUAGAUUCCUAUUCUCUGUAACCAGUGACUUCAAGUAUUGUUUUAUCUAAGCAGUGGAGUGAAGGUCAUGAGCCUCUGAGCUGGCCUGAGUUACGGCCACCUGGGCGCCAUAGUGAAGGUUAUGGGAUAAGUCUGUGCCUGGGCAAACCUAGAUAACGGACAUCUGGGUUGCUUGGCAACGGUCACGUGCAAUCCUGAGUUUGUCCUGCCUCUAUAUCCCUGCUUUCAUGCCACUGUAAGCUUGCUUCAAGCUAGCCCACCCCCUUUUGUGAAGUGUGUAUAGAAGUCAAGUGCUGUCUUUCUUCCGGGCCCAGUCUUUUGGACGUUGAGUCAGCUGGGCCUGAGUGCACUCAAUAAAUGAUUCUCCUGUUUUAGAUUGAGACCAUCCUGACUAACACGGUGAAACCCCGUCUCUACUAAAAAUACAAAAACAAAAUUAGCCGGGUGUGGUGGUGGGCGCCUGUAGUCCCAGCUACUCGGGAGGCUGAGGCAGGAGAAUGGUGUGAACCCAGUAAAUACUGCACAUGUGUAAUGAGCCGAGAUCGCGCCACUGCACUCCAGCCUGGGCAACAGAGCAAGAGUCCGUCU